UACAGAGGUCUCAAGCGUUGUUCGGAUUCAUUGGGCGUAAAGGGUGCGUAGGUGGCGCUGUAAGUCAGGUGUGAAAUUUCGGAGCUUAACUCCGAAACUGCAUUUGAUACUGCGGUGCUUGAGGACUGGAGAGGAGACUGGAAUUUACGGUGUAGCAGUGAAAUGCGUAGAGAUCGUAAGGAAGACCAGUGGCGAAGGCGGCUCUCUGGGACGGUACUGACGCUGAGACGCGAAAGCGUGGGGAGCGAACAGG
rnacentral:rRNA from 1 species